rnacentral:rRNA from 1 species
CCUACGGGAGGCAGCAGUAGGGAAUCUUCCACAAUGGGCGCAAGCCUGAUGGAGCAACACCGCGUGAGUGAAGAAGGGUUUCGGCUCGUAAAGCUCUGUUGUUGGAGAAGAACGUGCGUGAGAGUAACUAUUCACGCAGUGACGGUAUCCAACCAGAAAGUCACGGCUAACUACGUGCCAGCAGCCGCGGUAAUACGUAGGUGGCAAGCGUUAUCCGGAUUUAUUGGGCGUAAAGCGAGCGCAGGCGGUUGUUUAGGUCUGAUGUGAAAGCCUUCGGCUUAACCGAAGAAGUGCAUCGGAAACCGGGCGACUUGAGUGCAGAAGAGGACAGUGGAACUCCAUGUGUAGCGGUGGAAUGCGUAGAUAUAUGGAAGAACACCAGUGGCGAAGGCGGCUGUCUGGUCUGCAACUGACGCUGAGGCUCGAAAGCAUGGGUAGCGAACAGGAUUAGAUACCCCGGUAGUC